GGGACGCGCACGCAGUUUCGACUCAUCGGCCGUGGCAGCAGACACCUGAAGUUUCAUGACGUAGGAGAUUCAUGCGGAAACAGCAGCCAGCCCCCCCCACGCGCGGACUGACGGCCCCCGCGUAAUAAUAACCCGAAACCCUGUGGGAGAAUUACUGGAAGAUCACAGCGUGUACCAACUGGUUCACUAUGACAACAUGAGAGGAAAUCCCGGGACUUUGAUCUAACUUCUCGGCCGGAUGGAGAUAAAGUGUUGUUCACCAUGUCCUAUUGUUUAGUUUUGCGGCAAUGUUUUUUUUGCAAGAUUAUAUUUAGAUUUUGCUUCAACUGCAUGUUUGACUAAAAUCUAUCAUGUGUAAUGGAGCCAUUUUAAAAUCAGGCAUGAAUGUAUGUCAAACAGGUGUUUUUCAGCCAUUACUUAUUAUAAAUCAGAUUGUGCCAGAAGGAGAUCUUUUCCACCCAAAAAGCACAGAAGCUGUCUGAGUCAUCAGAUACUGUGAGACAGAGGAAGUAAGAAAACCCACAGUAUAUUGAUGAGUGCACAUGUUGUAUCAAGAUUCCUGGAAGUAGGCUGAAGGGUCAAAGGUGAAUGGAG
ensembl:lncRNA